rnacentral:rRNA from 1 species
UGGGGAAUUUUACGCAAUGGGCGAAAGCCUGACGUAGCGACACCGCGUGAGCGAAGAAGCCCCUUGGGGUGUAAAGCUCUGUCGGCUGGGACGAAACAAAUGACGGUACCAGCAAAGGAAGCAUCGGCUAACUACGUGCCAGCAGCCGCGGUAAGACGUAGGAUGCAAGCGUUGUCCGGAUUUAUUGGGCGUAAAGAGUUCGUAGGCGGUUUGUUAAGUCUGGUGUUAAAGAUCAGGGCUCAACCCUGGGAGUGCAUUGGAUACUGGCAGACUUGAGUGCAGUAGAGGCGAGUGGAAUUCCUAGUGUAGCGGUGAAAUGCGUAGAUAUUAGGAAGAACACCAGUGGCGUAAGCGACUCGCUGGGCUGUAACUGACGCUGAGGAACGAAAGCCAGGGGAGCAAAUGGGAUUAGAUACCCCCGUAGUCC